AUGGGGUGUUUUGAAAAUCAUGACCUUGAGUUUAACCUUUCAAGUUCAUUGAAAGUCAACAAAAUGGGUACCAAAUGAAAGACCAUAUCUGACUUCCUAUAAGUCAAUAAUACAAAGUUAGUUGAUAUCCAUCUUAGUUUUCAAGAUAGAAGCCAUUUUGUGAACAUGCAAAUUGGGUGCUUGAGCCCUGGUCACUUUAGAUGCCAAAUAAAAUAUAUACAU